CCUACGGGGAGCAGCAGUCGAGAAUCAUUCACAAUGGGGGAAACCCUGAUGGUGCGACGCCGCGUGGGGGAAUGAAGGUCUUCGGAUUGUAAACCCCUGUCAUGUGGGAGCAAAUUAAAAAGAUAGUACCACAAGAGGAAGAGACGGCUAACUCUGUUCCAGCAGCCGCGGUAAUACAGAGGUCUCAAGCGUUGUUCGGAAUCACUGGGCGUAAAGCGUGCGUAGGCUGUUUCGUAAGUCGUGUGUGAAAGGCGCGGGCUCAACCCGCGGACGGCACAUGAUACUGCGAGACUAGAGUAAGGGAGGGGGAACCGGAAUUCUCGGUGUAGCAGUGAAAUGCGUAGAUAUCGAGAGGAACACUCGUGGCGAAGGCGGGUUCCUGGACAUUAACUGACGCUGAGGCACGAAGGCCAGGGGAGCGAAAGGGAUUAGAUACCCUUGUAGUC
rnacentral:rRNA from 1 species